rnacentral:rRNA from 1 species
AUUGAACGCUGGCGGCAGGCCUAACACAUGCAAGUCGAACGAGUGGCGGACGGGUGAGUAAUGUCUGGGAAACUGCCCGAUGGAGGGGGAUAACUACUGGAAACGGUAGCUAAUACCGCAUACCAUCGGAUGUGCCCAGAUGGGAUUAGCUAGUAGGUGGGGUAACGGCUCACCUAGGCGACGAUCCCUAGCUGGUCUGAGAGGAUGACCAGCCACACGGGAACUGAGACACGGUCCAGACUCCUACGGGAGGCAGCAGUGGGGAAUAUUGCACAAUGGGCGCAAGCCUGAUACAGCCACGCCGCGUGUGUGAAGAAGGCCUUCGGGUUGUAAAGCUCUUUCAGUGGGGAGGCGUUACCUGCACAGGAAGCACCGGCUAACUCCGUGCCAGCAGCCGCGGUAAUUC